AGAGUUUGAUCCUGGCUCAGAUUGAACGCUGGCGGAAUGCUUUACACAUGCAAGUCGAGCGGCAGCGCGGGGGCAACCCUGGCGGCGAGCGGCGAACGGGUGAGUAAUGCAUCGGAACAUGUCCUUUUGUGGGGGAUAACCUGGCGAAAGCCAGGCUAAUACCGCAUGAGCUCGAAAGAGGAAAGCGGGGGACCGAAAGGCCUCGCGCGAGAGGAUUGGCCGAUGUCCGAUUAGCUAGUUGGUGGGGUAAAGGCUUACCAAGGCGAUGAUCGGUAGCUGGUCUGAGAGGAUGAUCAGCCACACUGGGACUGAGACACGGCCCAGACUCCUACGGGAGGCAGCAGUGGGGAAUUUUGGACAAUGGGGGAAACCCUGAUCCAGCCAUUCCGCGUGAGUGAAGAAGGCCUUCGGGUUGUAAAGCUCUUU
rnacentral:rRNA from 1 species